rnacentral:rRNA from 1 species
CCUACGGGAGGCAGCAGUGAGGAAUAUUGGUCAAUGGACGAGAGUCUGAACCAGCCAAGUAGCGUGAAGGAUGACUGCCCUAUGGGUUGUAAACUUCUUUUAUAUGGGUAUAAAAUGUUCCACGUGUGGGAUUUUGUAUGUACCAUAUGAAUAAGGAUCGGCUAACUCCGUGCCAGCAGCCGCGGUAAUACGGAGGAUCCGAGCGUUAUCCGGAUUUAUUGGGUUUAAAGGGAGCGUAGGUGGAUUGUUAAGUCAGUUGUGAAAGUUUGCGGCUCAACCGUAAAAUUGCAGUUGAAAAUGGCAGUCUUGAGUACAGUAGAGGUGGGCGGAAUUCGUGGUGUAGCGGUGAAAUGCUUAGAUAUCACGAAGAACUCCGAUUGCGAAGGCAGUUCACUGGACUGCAACUGACACUGAGGCUCGAAAGUGUGGGUAUCAAACAGGAUUAGAUACCCCUGUAGUC